rnacentral:rRNA from 1 species
GGAAUAAGGGGAGGGUAAGCCGGGUGUCAGCCGCCGCGGUAAUACCCGCUCCCCGAGUGGUGAGGACGAUUAUUGGGCUUAAAGCGUCCGUAGCCGGCUCAGCAAGUUUCCCGUUAAAUCCAACGGCUUAACCGUUGGGCCGCGGGAAAUACUACAGAGCUCGGAGGCGGGAGAGGUCGUCGGUAGUCCUGGGGUAGGGGCAAAAUCUUCUGAUCCCAGGAGGACCACCAGUGGCGAAGGCGGAUGACCAGAACGCGCUCGACGGUGAUGGACGAAAGCUGGGGGAGCGAACCGGAUUAGAUAUGGAUCGAAGCUAGAGCUUCAUCCACUGAAGACCCGGGUAGUCCCAGCUGUAAACGAUGCAGGCUAUGUGUCGGGGCGGCCACGAGCUGUCCCGGUGCCGCAGGGAAACCAUUAAGCCUGCCGCCUGGGGAGUACGGCCGCAAGGCUGAA